UACAUAAUCUUAAAAUUCCACCCUCCUUCCUUGCAAAUAUGACUCUUAUACCGCAAGAGGACACACUAUGUCAGAUGAAUCCACUAUCCUAAAAUUCAUUAAUCUAUUUCCUCAACUCCUCCAUCUCAACACGACUCAUGCGGUAAGGGGCAAGUGAAAUAGGCUGGGUGUCUGGCUGAAGGUCUAUGGUGAAUUCAACUUAUCUGUCGACUUGCAGUUUAGGUAGUUCAUCCGGGAACACAUCCAGGAAGUCUCAGACUACCAGAAUCUC
rnacentral:lncRNA from 1 species